rnacentral:ncRNA from 10 species
AGACAGUUAUAUGACUGACGGAAGUGGAUAACCACAUGGAGUAUAACAGUUGAUUGCCGACCGUCUGGGCGCACAUU